rnacentral:sRNA from 1 species
CAGAGAUCUUGGAGCCCUUCCUAGGCUAGAAUGCUUAAGCCUGGGGCUGGAAUGGUUUCUGGGCUCCAUUCCUGGCAUUAUGACUCAGGGUUCUGUGGCCGCCCAGCUGUGGUUCAAACCCUGGUUCAAGGCACAGCACAGGCCACCAAUGGUACACCAUGGAAGCCUGCAAAGUGUCAUCCCCAUGGAUAGGGAAGUGUACUCUCUGUGGGCAAGAAUACUUCCACCUCAGUUUCAAGAGAUGCCUCAGAUAUCCUCAAGAGAAGCUGCAUCAAGGAAGGGACAUCAGAGAGUCCAACACAGCAGUAAGAUGGCC